rnacentral:lncRNA from 1 species
GCUGGCAGCACGAGGGGCUGCAUAUCCACCCUGUGGACUCCUCCUCACCCUGCCACAGUGCCCUCUGGUCUUCUACAGAAGGACGCCACAGACGUGCAUCUCCCCACUGUCCCUUUGACUGUUUGGGACCAUGCUGUCCAAAAUUUAACACACAAUUGAGCUCUUUUCCUGUCUCCUCAAAUUCUGACUCUGCAUCCUAGAUCUGGCCAGCGUUUCUCUCCCCUGCAGGGUACAUCUCCUUUGGGCGUGGCCUCAGGAUCCCCACACAGGAGGACUGACCUUGCCAAAGGCCUGGCAAGUAAGGAUGCUCUGGCUGACUAACGUUCUCUUUUCGGAUUCAAUUGGACAUGGUUCUCCAGUGCUUCUUGGCUCUAAUUACGGCGGAAUGUGCCUGUGAGUUGUCCAACAGCUGCCACAUCCUUGUUAAGACAUUAAUGAGAGAAGAUCUUGUGAGAAUUGAAGGAAAAUAGAAAAAAAAUAUUGCAGUUGCAAGAGAAGAAUGAUGCCUGCUCCGUGGGAAUAGUCAAGCCAUGAAAAACCAGCCACCUCAUUUCUUCCCCAGAAGACCAUAAGCACAUGGCAUCUCACUUUGAGGGGCAAAUUCUGAGUUUGGCACUUUAUUUAUAUUUUAUUAAUGUAAACAAUAACAAAACACGUUCAAUCACAAGCACUCUACUCAGCCAGCUUUAUGUCUACCUCUGAAUCGAGGCACUUCUGAGAUGCUUCUCAGUGUUAGGGAAUGCUGGCCUGGAAGGCUUAGGAGCCAACUGGCAAGCUCAUUAGAGGACCAAGAAUUGCAUCAUAAAACAGUGGGACCAAAUGUGUGGGCAGUUAUUUUAAAACAUUAUAAAAACCCACCACUGUGUAUUUUUCUAUGAAUUGUUGACAAAUGUGCUUAGUAAUAGGAUAAGUGAAGAAAAAUGAAUGAAUUAGUUGAGAUUUACUUACAUUUUAACAUUAAUAAUAAAAUACAUGAUGUUAGAUGAAUAAAAUAAUCAAUAUAGACACCUUUAUAUAGACAUCCUUAUCCCAGAACUCUUUGUAAAGGACAUGUAAUGAUCAUAACCAUAACAGCAGCAGCAACUCAACAACAAGAGUGGCCCCACAGGUUCAUGGAGAACGUGGGCCACACAGACACUAUGCUUGACCCAUGAACGCGAUUGCAUUCAACCUCUCCUUAGGAGAGACUUGGCUACCAGAUCACGGAACUGUUAAAGAUGUAGAGGCCCCCUGGAUGGGGUCAACUGGAUGUGUCAUUUUUCUGUUUAAUUUCUAGGAUGGAGUCCUAAUGCCUUUGAAAUAAGACGUAAUUAUGUGAACAUCAUAUAAGAAAUUUAUACCUAUGAUGACGUCUUACUCUAUGUGUCUAAGACAAAAAAAUUAUGUCUGCUCUUAUUCUUCCUACCACAUAGCUCUGUGUUUAUUGCUUCCUGAAAAUUAAUGUUUUUAUUGAUCACUCUUAAAAAAAAAAAAACAGGGUGAGAGGAAACUACUAAGUUGAUUAAACUGGUAACCAGUUCUGCGAUUUCUUCACCAGCCUGCUUUAUCAUGAUGAUAAGACUUUGGUCUUAUUUUCCAAAUAUCUGUAAUGCCUCAAAAUGAACCAAUGAUGUUUUAACCCAAUAACUCAGCUUUUUUUUUCUUAAAGAAUCUUGCUGAGUCACUUUCCUAAUACCAUUCUCCAGUCAUGGAAGUCAGCCAGCUUUGUAAUACUGUCUUACAGAUGCUCUUCAACUUUUAUUGGUCACGAUUUGUUUCCCUAAGAUUUGUAUGCCUUUCAAAUCUUCAAAGUUAGUGAAGCUUUCUUCAGCCAGGAUUCAUCUGUUUAUAGAGCAGAGUGGGUGGCUUUUGGAAAAUACUUGACAUGUUAUAAUAUUGGGCUGAGGAGUCACACGCCACUAUCCAAGUUGUCAUUGAAUGUGCAUUUCCUCUUGGGAAUGGAGUCCUUAAAACUUUGAGUCCUUUACCAAUAGCAAAAAUUAGCAUCCCUUAACAUUUUCACCUGCCUUAACAUUGUGGCCUCUGUUCUGCAGACUUCAGCUAUUAAGUCAGUUUAUUUUUCCCCGACAUUAUAAGCUACACGCUUCCCACUCACUUCUAUCCUGUCUAGCAAACACACUAGUCUUUUCGGUUACUACUUUAAAUCACAAUGAAAACUAUGGUUGUGUAUUCACAUGCAACUAUGGCGUGUGAGUUGAUCCCAUCCUCUGAGCCCAAUCUGUGUGAAGGAAAAUGUUUCUCAUUAGGAAACCACUUCGUUGUGAUCCUUUGGAACCAUUUCUAGCUUGUACAAAUUAUUCAAAAUAGACAUCUUUCCUUUCCCUGGACUCCACCCCGGCCUUGUCUAGCUUUCUGGUGCUUCCAGAAGUUAAACAAGCAGAUGUUAUAAACAAAAACAAACAAACAAACAAAAAGCAAAACAAACAAAAAAAUAAAAAAUAAAAAACAUGAAAGACAAAAACAAAAAGAAAACCACUACCAUGAAUAAAUUUCAUCUUCUGUGCAUUUCUGUUAAAAUUUAUAAAUUUUAUAUUCUCCAUUAAAUCUGUGAAGAUAAUACCCAACUAUGUAAACACAUUGAUAUUCGUGGAUUUUAAAGAAAAUUCUAACAGUACUGACUACUUAAAGUACAGACUUAAAACUGUAAAAUUAUCCUGACACUUGAGGCUAAAGAACAUCUUAGUAAGUGAUUUGCUGUGUCUGUUAACAUUUUGUGAAAAUUUGUAGAUGUGUACACUAUGUUUGGGUUUGAAGCACUUUCUCACCUCUAACUUUUUUCCUUCUUCACCCCCUUAAUCACAGACACAGGAAUGCAGCUGCCCUGUGUGUGUCUCCUUCAUCCUGCUGGGGACAGGCACGGGCAAGGAGAGCUCAGGGGUAACACACGGGCAUAAUUGGGGUCUGAUGAAAUAGGCUAAUCAUGGAUCCACUAAGCAAAUAUUAAUUUUCAUUGGAAGCCCUGCCAUUUUGUGAACUUAUAAGAAAUAAACAGAAGUAUUGUUAGCCUCAGGAUGUAUCUCUUUUCUUUAAGAAAAAAGAAACCCAUUGAUAAAUGUCUCUGAAAGGCUAACUCUCACCACUUCAUGCUCUUCUAAUGCUUCUGCACUGUCCUAUGUGAGGCUUGAGUGAUGUGGGUGUGCCACUGAAGGGCCGUGGGUAGGAGCGGUGUGUUUUCUGAACACCUGUUACACCUUUAUUACCCAGUUCUAUGAAAACAUGUAUAACAUAGAAGCAAAGCACUCAUGCUAAAGAUCGCUUCUGCUGAUCCUUGCUGCCAAGAUCUCCCUUACGGUCCUCAGCGUCUCUUCCCUUGACCAGGUUCUUCCUGUCUUCUUGGGCUGCUUUCUCUGUAUUAUUUUUCUCUUCUUCUUCCAGCUUAUGGAAACCAUUCCUACCACAAUUUUCUCUUCUAAAUUUGGUUUGAUAAAACCAAAUACUUUUCAUUGUUUCACCUGCAGUGAUCUUUUUCUUAGACUUUUGCAUUUUGCAUUCUUUUAGUUUUAGUAUCUGUACUGGCAUUUCUUAUAUAGAGGUCCUGUUCACACCAUGCCCACAUUCUACAGUGGAUUAUACACUUUGAAUAUCAAGCUCCAGCUAUAUGAGGUAGUUUGGGAUUAUUGAAAGGACACCAAGAGGCAGAAUGGCCAUGUAAGUUAUUGUUCAAGUCAGGAUACUUUUGAGAGUUAAAAAAGGCAAGUUAACAACAUCACACCACGGAUGUAACUGGGACAAUUCCAGCCAAGAACUGAGAUGGUCCUUUCUUUCCUCCUCUCCCACCCCAUUCUCCUCCUUGUCCUCCUUCUUCUUCCUCCUCUUCCCCAUCCUCCUCUACUGCCUGUUCAUAGGGGAAAUAUACGUCUGUCUGUCUGUCUAUCUAUCUAUCUAUCUAUCUUUCUAUCUAUUAUCUAUCCAUCUCCCAAAUGCAAACACUGAAUCACUAGUCAAUAAGUCUCAUUAUAAAUGUUUGAUGCUAGCCCAAUGCUGGGCUCACUUUCUAAACUCCUAGGUAAUUCCACAACAGAAAGAAAUAAGAUUUCAGGUAUUAUUUUAUGUUUCUUAUAAUAUUAUCAGUAUAGGAUACUAGUUAAACUGUGGAGACACAGAGACAAAUGGAGACUAGUCUGAAUAACCUGGAGACAGUCCUCUCUCACAGCAAAGUAAAAUCUGGUUUGGUGGUUCUGCUUUGCAAAGUUAUGACGGGCUCAAGCUCUUCCUACCUUUUUGCCUCACUCUCCUGACCUGUUGUCCUCUCCACAUAGCCCCAGAUGACUCACCAUCAUAUCCACAUUCUAGCCAGUGGGAAGGGGAAAUGGAGUUGGUAAAAGCAUGUUCCUCUUUCUCUUGUGCACUGCAACUCUGCACAGUCCAUCUGUUCUUACCCCAUUGGCCAGAAUGCAGUCACCUUGCUUCUACUGGCUGCAAGGAAGGAUGGGGAUUGUAGUUUUUCCCAUGAGAACUCAUAUACCCAGACUAAAAUUGGUAACUGUAUUAUCAAGAGAGAGUGGGAGCAACUUGGGGACAUUGACAGUUUCUGUCACACUUAGCAAUAUGAUGUACUCAUAGAGGGAUACACAAUUCUUGCUGUUGUUGCCUAUUGAUAACUUCACUGUGUAUUUUCUGGUCUUCAGUUUACCAUAUUGUGAUAUAUACUGUGUACAUGUAUAGGGACUUCAUUACUUUCACUCAAAAGCUCCAAUAAAGAAUCAUGCAGUCUAGGUGCAGUGGCUCACACUUGUAAUCCCAACACUUUGGGAGGUCAAGGCAGGAGGAUCGCUUGAGGCCAGGAG